rnacentral:rRNA from 1 species
UGGGGAAUUUUGGACAAUGGGCGAAAGCCUGAUCCAGCCAUGCCGCGUGAGUGAAGAAGGCCUUCGGGUUGUAAAGCUCUUUUAGUCGGAAAGAAAGAGUUGCAAUGAAUAAUUGUGAUUUAUGACGGUACCGACAGAAAAAGCACCGGCUAACUACGUGCCAGCAGCCGCGGUAAUACGUAGGGUGCGAGCGUUAAUCGGAAUUACUGGGCGUAAAGGGUGCGCGGGCGGUCUUGCAAGUCAGAUGUGAAAUCCCCGGGCUUAACCUGGGAAUUGCGUUUGAAACUACAAGGCUAGAGUGCAGCAGAGGGGAGUGGAAUUCCAUGUGUAGCAGUGAAAUGCGUAGAGAUCUGGAAGAACACCGAUGGCGAAGGCAGCUCCCUGGGUUGACACUGACGCUCAUGCACGAAAGCGUGGGGAGCAAACA